rnacentral:ncRNA from 1 species
UAUUUUGCUUUGAUUAGGAGUAUUAGUAGGUUAUUUGUCUUUCAGAGAGCCGCAGUUUGGUGUGAUGUGGUGUCAGAUUCCUAUGAACUCGCCUAUGAGCUUACUUGAGGAAAUGCAAGUACGGUUAAAACCGUUAUAUUUCAAAGUGAAUUCUGAAAUUCUAUUUUUCAGAAUUAAUUAGAGUGGUACCACGAGGAUUAUUAUACCUUCGUCUCUUUC